rnacentral:rRNA from 1 species
AUUCCAGCUCCAAUAGCGUAUAUUAAUGUUGUUGCAGUUAAAAAGCUCGUAGUUGGAUUUCUACCUAUUUUGCCCGUUCCAGAUGAUAUUCAUCUUUCGGUAAUGGAGCUGAAGUGGGUAUCCUAUCAUGAAGUUGCGGCCUCGCGUCGUCGCUGAGUGGUUCUUUUACUUUGAAAAAAUUAGAGUGUCUAAAGCAGGCUUGCGCAAGAAUACAUUAGCAUGGGAUAAUAACAUAGGACUUUGGUCUCUAUUUUGUUGGUUUCUAGGACUAAAGUAAUGAUUGAUAGGGAUAGUUGGGGGUGCUAGUAUUGAGCGGCCAGAGGUGAAAUUCUUAGAUUCGCUCAAGACUAACUUAUGCGAAAGCAUUCACCAAGGAUGUCUUCAUCG